GCCUGGGUGGCUCAGUCGGUUGGGCAUCUGACUUUGGCUCAGGUCAUGAUCCCACAGUUUGUGGGUUCGAGCCCCGUGUCAGGCU
rfam:Felis catus breed Abyssinian Contig139762.1, whole genome shotgun sequence. [26-MAY-2016]